rnacentral:rRNA from 1 species
GCAUAUCAAUAAGCGGAGGAAAAGAAACUAACAAGGAUUCCCCUAGUAACGGCGAGUGAACCGGGAAGAGCUCAAAUUUGAAAUCUGGCGUGCUCAGUGCGUCCGAGUUGUAAUCUAUAGAGUCGUUUUCCGUGCCGGACUGUGUCCAAGUCCCUUGGAACAGGGUAUCAAAGAGGGUGAUAAUCCCGUACUUGACACAAUGACCGGUGCUCUGUGAUACGUCUUCUACGAGUCGAGUUGUUUGGGAAUGCAGCUCAAAAUGGGUGGUGAGUUCCAUCUAAAGCUAAAUAUUGGCGAGAGACCGAUAGCGAACAAGUACCGUGAGGGAAAGAUGAAAAGCACUUUGGAAAGAGAGUUAAACAGUACGUGAAAUUGUUAAAAGGGAAACGAUUGAAGUCAGUCGUGACUGAGAGGCUCAGCCGGUUCUGCCGGUGUAUUCCCCUCAGUCGGGUCAACAUCAGUUUUGUUCGGUGGAUAAGGGCAGUUGGAAGGUGGCACCCUCGGGUGUGUUAUAGCCAGCUGUCGCAUACAUCGGAUGAGACUGAGGAAUGCAGCUCGCCUUUAUGGCCGGGGUUCGCCCACGUUCGAGCUUAGGAUGUUGACAUAAUGGCUUUAAACGACCCGUCUUGAAACACGGACC